rnacentral:rRNA from 1 species
UGGGGAAUAUUGGACAAUGGGCGAAAGCCUGAUCCAGCCAUGCCGCGUGUGUGAAGAAGGUCUUCGGAUUGUAAAGCACUUUAAGUUGGGAGGAAGGGCAGUAAGCGAAUACCUUGCUGUUUUGACGUUACCGACAGAAUAAGCACCGGCUAACUCUGUGCCAGCAGCCGCGGUAAUACAGAGGGUGCAAGCGUUAAUCGGAAUUACUGGAAGUAAAGCGCGCGUAGGUGGUUCGUUAAGUUGAAUGUGAAAGCCCCGGGCUCAACCUGGGAACUGCAUCCAAAACUGGCGAGCUAGAGUAGGGCAGAGGGUGGUGGAAUUUCCUGUGUAGCGGUGAAAUGCGUAGAUAUAGGAAGGAACACCAGUGGCGAAGGCGACCACCUGGGCUCAUACUGACACUGAGGUGCGAAAGCGUGGGGAGCAAACAGG